CCCCCCCCCCCCCACCCCCCACGCGCCGAACUCUUCCUCUUCACCACAUAUUUACCAACCUUCACUUCUUUAGUCCUCCUCGACGAUGCCUUAGUUGCGCGUUGCUAAAUGUUUUGCCUAAAACUAUAACCUAGUUCUAUCUUAUUCAUCAAUAAGUGCUUGAAUCUUCCAUUCAAUUGUAUUUUGGAAAGUCGAAUUUGAAUUUCCGGUUCUCCAAACCCUAGAAAAUGUCGGGCGGCUUUUUCCAAGUAUGCAGAUACCGUAUGAUUCAGGAGGAGUUCAAUUCUCCAAGCCUUUCUGAAUUGCAGUAGUAUUUGACAGAUGAGGAUUACAGUAUGGUCGUUGGAUUUUAUAUCUUGCUGCGAGCUGUAGACCGGUUUUCUGCUAACUAUAAUAGUUUUCAUGGACAGUUGGACGGGUAGUUCCUCAUUCUCUUUGGAAUAAAUUGCGAUGUGGUUGUCAUUUGGGACUGGAUCUAAAUGUUUAAACUUCAUCUUGACAGAGAGAUAGAUGAAGAUAUAUCUUACCUAAAGACUCUAGCUAUUAGCUUACUGACUGACCUUGGCUGCAAUGAAUAAAUCUUGUUUGGGGCUGCGGAGCUACAUGCGGUCUCUGCCUUCAUAUGCGGGAUUGCUUCAUAGGAAAUGAUAAAGUUAUGCUACAUUUGUUUUUUUAUUCUGUUUUCUUUUCAUGUUCUAGCCAUAGUGCAAAUAGUUGGAUUAACACUUGUAAAUUAAAUACUUAGUGUGAUUGUGAUUAGUGGCUUCCUUGGACGUGUAGCACUUUAGAGAGUUUAUAGGCCAUUUUGGUUUGUGAAUGUUUAUCCGAGAUACUAUGAGUCAUUAAUCCUUACAACAAGUGUAUUUCUUGGAUUCAUUAUGUACUCUGGAAUUUAUAGGAACCGAAAAAGGCAUCCUUAGGGAUUUACAUGAAAUAAACACGUAAGUGGAUUUACUUAACUACCA